CCUACGGGUGGCAGCAGUGAGGAAUAUUGGUCAAUGGCCGCAGGGCUGAACCAGCCAAGUCGCGUGAGGGAUGACGGUCCUAUGGAUUGUAAACCUCUUUUGUCAGGGAGCAAAGGGCGCCACGUGUGGCGUUUUGCGAGUACCUGAAGAAAAAGCAUCGGCUAACUCCGUGCCAGCAGCCGCGGUAAUACGGAGGAUGCGAGCGUUAUCCGGAUUUAUUGGGUUUAAAGGGAGCGCAGGCGGAUUGUCAAGUCAGCGGUAAAAUUGCGGGGCUCAACCCGAACGUGCCGUUGAAACUGGCAGUCUUGAGUAAGCGAGAGGUAUGCGGAAUGCGUGGUGUAGCGGUGAAAUGCGUAGAUAUCACGCAGAACUCCGAUUGCGAAGGCAGCAUACCGGCGCUCAACUGACGCUCAGGCACGAAAGCGUGGGUAUCAAACAGGAUUAGAUACCCCUGUAGUC
rnacentral:rRNA from 1 species